rnacentral:rRNA from 1 species
UACGGAGGAUCCGAGCGUUAUCCGGAUUUAUUGGGUUUAAAGGGAGCGUAGGCCGGCUUUUAAGUCAGCUGUGAAAGUCCGCGGCUCAACCGUGGAAUUGCAGUUGAAACUGGAGACCUUGAGUGCGCGGAAGGCAGGCGGAAUUCGUGGUGUAGCGGUGAAAUGCUUAGAUAUCACGAAGAACCCCGAUUGCGAAGGCAGCCUGCCGCAGCGUUACUGACGCUGAAGCUCGAAAGCGCGGGUAUCGAACAGG